AUAGGAGGGUCCCGCCUGCCCUGGUCACUAGAUGUUUAACGGCCGCGGUAUUUUGACCGUGCGGAAGGUAGCGCAAUCACUUGUCUUUUAAAUGGAGACCUGUAUGAAUGGCACGACGAGGGCAUUAACUGUCUCCUUUCCUUAGUCAAUGAUAAUUGAUCUUCCCGUGCAGAAGCGGUGAAUAAGUCCAUAAGACGAGAACGACCCUAUGGAGCUUUAGACACAAAAACAGCCCAUGUUAAGAACCCUCACACAAGAAACCAAACUAGAUGGCCCCUGUCCUAAUGUCUUUGGUUGGGGCGACCACGGGGUAGCAAAAAACCCCCGCGCGGAACAGAAACACUGUUUCCAAAACCAAGAGUACCCACUCUAAGUAACAAGAUCUACUUGACCUUUGAGAUCCGGCACCAAGCACGAUCAACGGACCGAGUUACCCUAGGGCAUAACAGACGCACAUCGUUCUUCGAGAGUUCAUAUCGACAAGAGGGUUUACGACCUCGAUGUUGGAUCAGGACAUCCUAAUGGUGCAGCCGCUAUUAAGGGUUCGUUUGUUCAACGAUUAAAGUCCUACGUGAUCUGAUUUCAAAACCGGAUGAGUUCAAACCGGAGG
rnacentral:rRNA from 1 species